UCUCUCUCUCUCUCUAUAUAUAUAUAUAUAUAUAUAUAGAGAGAGAGAGAGAGAGAGAGAUGCUCUCCCAACAACCAGUUCUCAUGGGAACUUCAUAAGA